AUUGAACGCUGGCGGCAGGCUUAACACAUGCAAGUCGAGCGGAGAGAGGUAGCUUGCUACUGAUCUUAGCGGCGGACGGGUGAGUAAUGCUUAGGAAUCUGCCUAUUAGUGGGGGACAACAUUUCGAAAGGAAUGCUAAUACCGCAUACGUCCUACGGGAGAAAGCAGGGGAUCUUCGGACCUUGCGCCAAUAGAUGAGCUUAAGUCGGAUUAGCUAGUUGGUGGGGUAAAGGUCUACCAAGGCGACGAACUGUAGCGGGUCUGAGAGGAUGAUCCGCCACACUGGGACUGAGACACGGCCCAGACUCCUACGGGAGGCAGCAGUGGGGAAUAUUGGACAAUGGGCGCAGGCCUGAUCCAGCCAUGCCGCGUGUGUGGAGAAGGCCUUAUGGUUGUAAAGCACUUUAAGCGAGGAGGAGGCUACUUUAGUUAAUACCUAGAGAUAGUGGACGUUACUCGCAGAAUAAGCACCGGCUAACUCUGUGCCAGCAGCCGCCGUAACAC
rnacentral:rRNA from 1 species